rnacentral:rRNA from 1 species
UGCCUGUAAGACUGGGAUAACUCCGGGAAACCGGGGCUAAUACCGGAUGCUUGAUUGAACCGCAUGGUUCAAUCAUAAAAGGUGGCUUUUAGCUACCACUUGCAGAUGGACCCGCGGCGCAUUAGCUAGUUGGUGAGGUAACGGCUCACCAAGGCGACGAUGCGUAGCCGACCUGAGAGGGUGAUCGGCCACACUGGGACUGAGACACGGCCCAGACUCCUACGGGAGGCAGCAGUAGGGAAUCUUCCGCAAUGGACGAAAGUCUGACGGAGCAACGCCGCGUGAGUGAUGAAGGUUUUCGGAUCGUAAAACUCUGUUGUUAGGGAAGAACAAGUACCGUUCGAAUAGGGCGGUACCUUGACGGUACCUAACCAGAAAGCCACGGCUAACUACGUGCCAGCAGCCGCGGUAAUACGUAGGUGGCAAGCGUUGUCCGGAAUUAUUGGGCGUAAAGCGCGCGCAGGCGGUUUCUUAAGUCUGAUGUGAAAGCCCCCGGCUCAACCGGGGAGGGUCAUUGGAAACUGGGGAACUUGAGUGCAGAAGAGGAGAGUGGAAUUCCACGUGUAGCGGUGAAAUGCGUAGAGAUGUGGAGGAACACCA